UUCAAUACUGUUGUGGUGGCAACAUYUCAAUGGUGUGCACUUUUCUCUUAGUCAGACGUUGUGAUCCAUUAGAAAUGGAUUGUUUUCGCGACAAUCAAUAGGUUACCAAUAGGCCGGCAUUGAAGUUCACAUAGAUAAACAACACAAUCUUUUGGUUGGGUAUAUUGUCUGGUGAGCGUGCCGUAUACUGAUGUAACUGUCUGAUGGAUUUUAAAGGUUGUAUCAUUGAUGCUUGUUCAUCACCCGUCCUUAUACGAUGGGUUAGAAUUAUGCGAUACAUGCCCGAUCAACAACGCUCUCAUUUGGGAUACCUUUGGGACCCGUCUUGAAACACGGACCAAGGAGUCUAUCUAGUAUGCAAGUAAAUGGGGUAUACAAAAUUUUUAACGAAACCUAUUUGCGUAAAAAACUUGACUGUAAUAUAAUGGGAUUACGUGUACAUUGAUUUUAACCAAUUGUGUGCACCUCCAUCCCGGGGUAUUUACAUCAGAUAUGUGGGCAACUAUAUAUCGUAAAUAUACCAUGAGCAUACUGGACAUGACCCGAAAGAUGGUGAACUAUGCCUGAUCAGGUUGAAGUCAGGGGAAACCCUGAUGGAGGACCGAAGCAAUUCUGACGUGCAAAUCG
rnacentral:rRNA from 1 species